GGCUGAACAGUAGUGCAAUUGGUAGCACUGUUGCUUUGCAGCAAGGCAACAGGCCUGGGUUCAAAUCCUGGCCUGCGGUCU